GACGAACGCUGGCGGCGUGCUUAACACAUGCAAGUCGAACGGUGAAGCUCCAGCUCGCUGGAGUGGAUCAGUGGCGAACGGGUGAGUAACACGUGAGCAACCUGCCCCUGACUCUGGAAUAAGCGCUGGAAACGGCGUCUAAUACUGGAUACGAGAAGGGUCCGCAUGGGCACUUUCUGGAAAGUUUUUCGGUUGGGGAUGGGCUCGCGGCCUAUCAGCUUGUUGGUGAGGUAAUGGCUCACCAAGGCGACGACGGGUAGCCGGCCUGAGAGGGCGACCGGCCACACUGGGACUGAGACACGGCCCAGACUCCUACGGGAGGCAGCAGUGGGGAAUAUUGCACAAUGGGCGAAAGCCUGAUGCAGCGACGCCGCGUGAGGGAUGACGGCCUUCGGGUUGUAAACCUCUUUCAGCAGGGAAGAAGCGAAAGUGACGGUACCUGCAGAAGAAGCACCGGCUAACUACGUG
rnacentral:rRNA from 1 species